UACGAAGGGGGCUAGCGUUGCUCGGAAUCACUGGGCGUAAAGCGCACGUAGGCGGAUCUUUAAGUCAGGGGUGAGAUCCCAAGGCUCAACCUUGGAACUGCCUUUGAUACUGGGGAUCUCGAGUCCGGAAGAGGUUGGUGGAACUGCGAGUGUAGAGGUGAAAUUCGUAGAUAUUCGCAAGAACACCAGUGGCGAAGGCGGCCAACUGGUCCGGUACUGACGCUGAGGUGCGAAAGCGUGGGGAGCAAACAGG
rnacentral:rRNA from 1 species